GGAUCCCGUGGAAGAUAGAAGAAAUACAAAGAGGCAAGAGGAGUACUACAACAGUAUGGGAAACGUGGCCGAUUCAGAAUAUGGGAUUCCCAGGAGGUGUCCCUGUGGUGGGAGAAUCCGAGACGAGGUUCGCGUGAAGGAGAAGUACGACACUCUGCCUGGGAAACGCUUCUUCACGUGCAUCAACUACGAGGCUGAUGGGUUUCAUUACCGUCAGCCUUGGGUUAUAGGUGUGCAGGAGGAGAUCGAAAGUCUGCGUAGGCGGGUGGAGAAGGCUGAGCAGGUGAUCAAGUUGGUGCCCAAUCUCAAUAAACAUAUCGACACAGUUGAGGCAGAGGUUAACCGCCUCAGUUUGGCGGUUGAUAACCUCACUGCUGAGAUUUAUUCUCUCACUGUGCAGGUCGCAAAUCUGGAGAAGGUCUGCUUCGAAUAAAAACCUUAAGGUCACGGGUUGCAGGAGGUGGAUGCUUGUACUUGUGUUCCAGUCACGGGUUCACGCUUUCUCUGUUUCUUUUAUGUACCUGUCUUUUAGCUUUAUGUACCUCUCUUUUAGCUCUAUGUAUGUCGGUUUCAAUCACGGGAAAGUGUAGAAUGUUGGAUAUUUCUACACUUCUAUCUUAUGUAAUCACGGGUGUAUGUACCCCUGAUAACUUCAUUCACGGGUGUAAACAUUGUCUCCCUAUAUAUAUUAUGUUUGUCACUUCUCUUUGGCGAUCAUUUAUAAAAUCUCCAAUGCAACUUCUCUUUCUUUCUCACUUGUCUUUGUGAAACACAAAGUAUUUGUAUGACCCACUGCUUUCCUCAUCCUCCUCUACACCAAGUCUCUCUCCUUGUAUUUAGGAUGUCUUCCUCAUCAAGUGAUGAAGUAGAUGAAGCUUUAGAUGAAAUUGUCGACGAAGUAGUCGAUAAUUACAUCGACUCAAUGGUUAAUGCUCAAAUCAACAAGCCGAAGCGACGAAGUUAUAUCGAAAGAGAGCGGGAACUAGGACACAAACAACUAUGGAACGAUUAUUUCGCGGAAAAUCCAACAUACCAGCCGGAAAUGUUUAGGCGCCGUUUUCGAAUGAACAAAACUUUGUUCCUUCGCAUAGUCCAAAGCCUAACUACUGAACUGCCAUACUUUCAGCAAAGAAGAAAUGCUCAUGGAAGGUUGGGGCUAUCUGCACUUCAAAAGUGCACGGCAGCAAUACGUAUGCUGGCAUACGGACAAUCGGGAGAUAUGUAUGACGAAUAUCUCCGACUAGGUGAAAGUACUUCACGUUUAUGUUUGGAUAAUUUCACUAAUGGGAUUAUACAAUUGUUUGGAGCUGAGUAUUUAAGAAGACCUACACCGGCGGAUAUUCAACGAUUACUCGAUGUUGGAGAGGCACGGGGGUUUCCAGGGAUGGUAGGCAGCAUCGAUUGUAUGCAUUGGGAGUGGAAAAACUGCCCAACGGCUUGGAGAGGGCAGUUUACACGUGGUUCAGGAAAGCCGACAAUUGUCUUAGAAGCUGUGGCAUCACAGGAUCUUUGGAUAUGGCACGUAUUUUUCGGUUUACCAGGUACUCUCAACGAUAUCAAUGUUCUUGAUCGGUCUCCAAUUUUUGAUGACAUUUUACAAGGUCGAGCACCUAAAGUUAAUUUCAAGGUCAACAACCACACCUAUCAUAUGGCAUACUACCUUACUGACGGAAUUUAUCCGCAUUGGGCUACAUUUAUCCAAUCCAUCCCACUUCCUCAAGGUCCUAAAGCAGUGCGGUUUGCUGAACGCCAAGAAGCCACUAGAAAAGAUGCCGAACGUGCUUUUGGAGUAUUGCAAUCGAGAUUUGCAAUAGUUAAAAACCCAGCUUUACAAUGGGACAAGGAAAAAAUAGGAAGGAUUAUGAGAUGUUGUGUUAUAUUGCACAAUAUGAUAGUCGAGAACGAAAGAGACGGAUACAAUCAAAUUGAUACAUCAGAGUUCGAGUCGGGAGAGUCAAGCAGAAGUUCCCAGGUGCGAAGAAGAGAAAGUUUGAA